rnacentral:rRNA from 1 species
AAUACGGAGGGGUGCGAGCGUUAAUCGGAAUUACUGGGCGUAAAGCGCAUGCAGGCGGCCUGUUAAGUCAGAUGUGAAAGACCCGGGGCGUUAACCUCGGAAUUGCAUUUGAAACUAGGCAGGCUAGAGUCUUGUAGAGGGGGGUAGGAAUUUCAGGUGUAGCGGUGAAAUAGCGUAGAGAUCUGAAGGAAUACCAGUGGCGAAGGCGGCCCCCUGGACAAAGACUGACGCUCAGAUGCGAAAGCGUGGGGGAGCCAAACAGGAUUAGAUACCCCUGGUAG